rnacentral:tRNA from 1 species
GACCCUAUCGUCUAGAGGCUAGGACGCUAGGUUCUCAUCCUGGUAACACGAGUUCGAAUCUCGUUAGGGUCA